AUUGAACGCUGGCGGCAGGCCUAACACAUGCAAGUCGAACGAGUGGCGGACGGGUGAGUAAUGUCUGGGAAACUGCCUGAUGGAGGGGGAUAACUACUGGAAACGGUAGCUAAUACCGCAUACUAUCAGAUGAGCCUAGGUGGGAUUAGCUAGUUGGUGGGGUAAAGGCCCACCAAGGCGACGAUCCUUAACUGGUCUGAGAGGAUGACCAGUCACACUGGAACUGAGACACGGUCCAGACUCCUACGGGAGGAAGCAGUGGGGAAUAUUGGACAAUGGGCGAAAGCCUGAUCCAGCCAUGCCGCGUGUGUGAAGAAGGUCUUCGGAUUGUAAAGCACUUUAAGUGGGGAGGCGUUACCAGCAGAAUAAGCACCGGCUAACUCCGUGCCAGCAGCCGCGGUAAUUC
rnacentral:rRNA from 1 species